rnacentral:antisense_RNA from 1 species
CUUGAUUCAUGGCUCCGUCUUCUGCUGAUGGAGAAGGGUAACACAAAGCUGCUUCCAUUGCAAACUUAACAAUGUCCUUAUUCUCCCCAAAAGACGAAUCGUUCGGUCUUUUUCCCGUAAUCAGUUCGAGUAAAACCACCCCGAAGCUAUAGACAUCGCUCUUCUCAUUCACUUUUGACGUAUAACCAUAUUCUGCAUCCACAGAAGAACAGUAAUGUUACUAAAACGCUUGCGUAUAGGGUUUUAACGAUUUGAUAUUGUAGAGCUAAGAAUUCGAACCCGGAGCAAUGUAGCCGUAGGAUCCAGCAACACAAGACAUUGAAACAUCGGAGACACCAUCAUUGUCUUCUCUCUUCAACGGUUUAGCUAAACCGAAAUCGGCGACACGUGGCUUCAUCUCAUGGUCCAACAAUAUAUUAUUGCUUUUGACGUCACGGUGAACAAUAGGCGGAACAGAGUCAUGAUGUAGAUAAGAAAGUCCUUGAGCAGCACCAACCGCGAUCGAAAAUCGUGUCGUCCAAUCAAGUGGAGAAACGGCACGAUGUUCUUUCUCCGAAUGCAAAACGUCACCUAAGCUGCCGUUUUCCAUGAACUCGUACACUAAGAACCGAAACUCCUCGCCGUUGCAGCACAUAAGAAGUUUCACGAUGUUUCCAUGUCUGACCCGACCCAACGUCUCUACUUCGGAUCGAAAAACAGAUUCAGAUUCCGUUUUUUGACCCGUUUCUCCCCAGAGUUUCUUCACCGCAAGCGUUUGACCUGAUUUGAGUUUCACUCUAUAAACCAAACCCGACCCGCCCGACCCAAUUAUGUUAUCUUCUGUUAAUUGCGGGUAUAUGUCUUCCUCCGUGAACCCGACCCGCUGGAAGAUGGUUAUUUUGUUGGUCCGUUUCGGUUUUCUCUUGAAUAACGGUUUGGUUUUGAUGAAUAGCCAAACCAAAGCUCCGGUUAGUGCAACGAUGCAGAGGAUUGAGAUUGGGAGAAUGUACCGGGUUUCCCGUUUGGAUCGGCAAGGUCUAAUCGGAUCCAAAUUUGGGGCACAGAGAUUCGGGUUACCUAAGAAACUGGGUCGAAAAAUAUCUUGCUGAAAUCCAGAAGGAAUCUUACCAUAGAGUUUGUUAUCGGAGACGUUGAAUUGAUUAAGCUUGAGCCUGAAGAAGAAGGCUUGCCGGUGAGUUGGUUGUUAGAGAGAUCCAGGUAGUUUAAAACCGGUAAAUCACCGAGUUCCGGUGGUAUCCCGCCUCGUAAACGGUUGUUGGAGAGAUUUAAUUCGGUUAACUCGGUGCACGAACUCACUGAACUCGGAAUCUCGCCGUCGAGCAUGUUCUCCUGCAUCUCUACUCUCUCUAGAUUCUUCAAUUUGUUGAUGCAAGACGGAAUUGAUCCUAAGAAACUGUUGCGGCUAAGAUCGAUGACUCUGAGAUCACGGAGAUCACAAAGUUUGACGGGAAUCACACCGGAGAAGUUGUUAGCGGAGAUUUCAAGCUGAGAUAGAUGACGAGCUUUGGAAAUCGAAGGAGGAAUCGAACCUUGUAAUUGAUUGUUGUUGGCUAGCUCAAGACGAGUAAGAGGAAGUUCCCAAAACCUAGCCGGAACUUCGCCGGAGAGUUUGUUAUCCGCCAUACGAAUGUAAUUAAGCGAAUGACAAUCGCCGUAAGAUUCCGGAAUUUCGCCGCUUAAUUGAUUGCUGAAGGUGAUAAUCUUCUGAAGUUUUCUUCUGUAGCACAAAUACGGCGGCAAUUCACCGGAGAAUCUGUUCGUCGAGACAUCGAAUUCAGAGAUUUCUGAGAAUUUCCCGAGAUUCCUUGGUAACGUCCCCGUGAAACUGUUGUUGAAGAUUUUGAAUUCAACGAGAUUAGGAUUCAAAGCUACGACAUCUGGUAAUCCUCCGGUGAAGAAAUUAUCAUUGAGAUUGAAAGAGAUAAGUUGCAGAGCAGCGAUCUUUUCCGGUAGUUCACCGGUUAGAUUAUUCUGCGAGACAUCAAAAUUCCUCAAUUCGGUUAAAUUUCCGAUACUCUCCGGUAAUUUUCCAGAUAACCGGUUAUCGUAGAGCUCAAUCUGGUAAACCGAUUCGAGUCUUCCGAUACUCUCAGGUAUUUCUCCGGUGAGACUAUUCAUAGCUAAAUCAAGAUUCUCUAACAACACCAGAUUCAUGAUCGAAUCAGGAAUUUCUCCGACGAGGUUCGAGUGAGUUAGCCGAAGAUCAGUCAGAUUCGACAAGUUCCCCAAGGUUGAUGGAAUCGGACUAGGAUCAAAACUGAUGUAAGCGAGAUCAAGACGAGUUAACUCAGUCAGAUAACCCAAAAACGCCGGAACGAUUCCACUGAGCGGGUUACCAUUAAGAUUCAGAACUUGCAGAGCAGUGAGUCUCCCGUAACUUUGAGGAAUCUCACCGGUGAAGAGGUUUGAUUCCAAUUCGAGGACUCGUAAUUUACGAAACUCCGGUGAGAAUUCCGGUAAUUUACCGGAGAAGUUGUUUUGAUUGAGAAUCAAAUUCUGAAGUUUAGAACAGAGGGAGAGAGGAGCAGAAUCAAUCGUACCAUUGAGAUUGUUUUGAGAAAGAGUGAUGUUGAUGAGUGUACGGAUACGACAGAAUCCGUAGGGAAAGCCACCGGAGAUAUUAUAGCCGGAGAGAUCAAUGGUAGUGACGGCGAGGGAGCUACCUUUUCUGAUGUGGCAUGUGAUUCCCGUCCAAUUACAUGGACUCCGAUUAUCUCCGGUUAUGACCCAAUCUUGUAAAUUUCCAUCGGGGUCGAAAAGUCGGGUCUUUUUAACUCUACUCAAUAUCUCAGCGUCUCCAUUGGAAGAAACUUGGAGAAAACAAGAAAGAAGAAGUAAAGAGAGAAAGAAGAAGAGAUUAGUAUUGGUGAGCAUCGUGUUGGGAAGAGAGGUAUGAAACACGAUGAAGGAGGUGAGAUUGUGUUCAUAGAAUGGGUUUUUGAAAAGAAGAAAAAAGUUGAGUAACGUUUAAAGAGUUUGAGAUUGUUAUUUAAAGAUGGACGGAUUUGCUGGUUUUUUUUGCUUUCUUUUGAUUCACAUGGGAAGUAGGUUUAAGUUUGAGUGAC